ensembl:lncRNA
GAAAUACUUGAAGUAUAUACAUUUUUGCUUGACAACAAACAAUAUCACAUACUUGUUUCUUCUCUAGUGUGAAGUCAGUUUGUCUCUUUCAUUCAAAUUGACCGAAACAGUAUUACCUAUCACAGAUUCUCGUGGAAUAAAGUCCUUGUGAUGUGCACUGGUUUGACCCUCAAUAUCAACAUUAAAGAUUACCGAAACUGCCGGAUUUCUGGAGGCAUCAUGGGGAGAACUGUGGUGUAGUGAUGGGAUUUCCGGCUCUUUUUGGCUACGAGCCCGACACGGAACCCGCCGUAUUAACCAGAGGUCCCUUUACUACGGUUCGGAGCCGCGGACCUUCAGUAACAUGUUGCCAACUCCUCAGUAAGGAAAAUCGCUAUUGGCUGUCCUAAAAGUCGCUAGAAGUCGCUAAAUGACGUCAUCGCCUAAUUUGCAUAAUUGGUCAUGCUUGUAAACUACGCUGUAGGAGAGAGAAAUAGCACCAUGGACGAGACAUCAAACAUCCAGGCUGUGCUGGCUCACAGAAAGAGUGGGUCAUCCUCAUUUUUGUCAAGAUUCUCUACUGCAGGUUCAGCAACUGUAGCACUUGACUUAAAGGAGUACGCAGCUGAUGUGCCAAAAAGCUGCAAAACAUUGUCAGGCAGCUGGUGCUCAUAGCAAGCCUCACCAGACAGCUUCAGUCCAUAUCGGAUGUACAGGAUGGAGUUAAGGCUCUGCAAGGACAUCUGAUUUCUAAGUUUGCUUUUUACCACACUCAUCUGGCUGAAUACUCUCUCAACUUCAGCAUUUCAGUGUGGCAAGGACAACACAGACACAGCAGCCAUGGCAAGUUCUUGAAAUGGGUUUAUAUCAGCUGCAUCCCUGUACUUCCAAAUCUCACUCCAGA